AAUUCGGACAGUCUGGGGCACAAGAGGAGCCGAUUCUGCGCCUGACAGUCCCCUGGGGUGGGCGUCGCGUCUCAGGCGGGCUGGGCAGCACCCUCCUGUGGCUGUGGGAGCCUCCUCCUCCUCCUCCGAGGACGGCAGGGCCAACGCCACGGUCAGCGGGGGCUGGGCGCGGCCGGGCUCCCACAGACGGUGUAUUGCUGGUGCCCAGAGCCGCCCCCACCUGUGUGUCUGAGUCCGGCCUCUUUGGGUCGGCUGGACAGACCGGAGCUCAGGACGCCGAGGCCUGGGGCCGUCCUUCCAGACCACAGGGAAACAGUGUGCGGGCGGCAGAGAAUGGGCCAAGUCCGAGGCGGGCGGAGAACUGUGGCUCAGGGGGGGGGGGGGGGGGGGGGGGGGGGGGGGGGGGGGGGGGGGGGGGGGGGGGGGGGGGGGGGGGGGGGGGGGGGGGGGGGGGGGGGGGGGGGGGGGGGGGGAGGGGGGAAGAAGGGAAGGAGAGGGAGAAGAGGGAGGAGGAGGAGGGGGAGGAGCAGAGGGCGUGGGAGGGAGAAGAGGGGAAGGAGGAGAAGAAUCGGGAGGAGGAGGGGGAGGAGCAGAGGGUGUGGGAGGGAGAAAGGAAAAUUAUGCACAUUUGAAACAAACAAAACCCAGGGCUCCCACCAGAGCCUUUUCUCCUCUGCCCGCUCUGGAAUCUGAUCCCGGCAGCAGCCUCAGGGUUCAGCCAGUGCUGAGCCGGGAGUCAGUCCUGCAGGGCAGCCCAGCCUCACAGAGCUGCA
rnacentral:lncRNA from 13 species